AGGACUGUGGGACAGGAGGGAGUGUGGGAGUCACUUUGUCCUGUCUGCUUAAAGUCCUCAUGGGCAUUUGCAGGGAGCAGUCCCAUGGUCAUAGUGAGGAACCGUGGCCAGGCUUGGAGAGAGAGAGGUUCACAAGCUGCGAGAAAGGUGAAAUGGAUAUUCUUGGUUAGAUGAAGAAACCAAGAUCCCAAAAGCCUGUGUGAUGAUGGACUGCGGUCACAGGACUGUUCUGGUUCAAGGGAGCCAUGAUGGUGACGCUCAGAGCCAAGACGCUGGUGGAAGAUGGUUGUCCAUCCACUAAAACGCCUACUCACUUUGUGCGGAGCUUCCUGUGUGAUGGCCGGCGACACUUUGCCCAGCUGUGGGUCAUCUUGGACUUGGGGGUCUGCCUCCUGAGAGCCAUGGGAGGCUACUGCAGGGACUUAGGUCAGGCAGGGUGUGACGGAGGGAGGUGGUGGAUGAGGCUGCUGUGUGGAGAAUGGAGCUGAGUGAGCCAGGGUGCUGAGGAGACAGCAGCCACGGCAUUAGAGAGGUCCCAGUGGUGAUGGUGCCAGGGCUCGUGCUUAUAGAAGCCAAUGCAUGUAUCUGGGUGUGGUAGCACACUCUUGUAAUCCCAGUAUUCUGGAGGCAGAGGCAGGUGGGUUACUGCAAACUCAAGCCCAGCCUGGGCUACAUAGCAAGACCCCGACGCAAACAAAACAAAAACAAACAAACAAAAACCCCAAAACACCAGCUGGGCAAACUAGCUCAUAACUACAAAUCCCAGCACGUGGGAGGCAGAAGCAGGAGGAUUGCAACAAGUUCAAGAUCAGCUUGGGCAUCAGAGUGAAACCCUGUCUCAAAAACAAAAACAAAAACAAAAACAAAUGAACAAACAAACCAUUCCCUCUCCCAGGCAGCAACACAUAAAACAUCUGGGCAUUGUGGCUCAUUCUUGUAAUUAUAUCACUUGGGAGACUGAGCCAGGAGGAUUGCUGCAAGUGCAAGGCUGGCCCUGGCUCCAGUGUGACACUCUAUGUCAGAAAACUUAAAUAGGCAAAGAAGACCAAGUGACCAACUAACCAAGAACCCAAUGGCUCAUAUUUAUUGGUAGGAGACAGGCCAUGUAGCCUCUUCUCAUUCUCCACAGCCACCUCAAGUCGUCCCUUGUUGGAUCCUAGACCUUCUUCCCCUCCAGAGGACCUGUCCCCAGGAUGAGCUUGUCUUGAAGCUUCAUUCAAAUGGGCCACACCACCACUAGGCUGUGAACACAGUCACAUUCACCACGCCUGUAGCUGAGUUCUUGGCAGACCCCCAUGCCAACCCCAAAAGGCUUUUACACCUAGUGUAUGUAUGCUGGGGAUGAUAGGGUUCCAAUUUACAGUCCCUCUUGCUUUUCCAAUCCAAGGCACAAUCAGAGGCAAUCCAUCUCCAGGGAACUGACUCAUGAUAAACUUCUAGAAGCCCAAAUAAGAAAGCAUAAUGGUAAAGUAGUCUAUAAAGGUCUCAUAGAGUUGCAGGACACAGUCCCAAUUAUGGUGAUAUGGCAUGGACACACAGAGAUCAGAACAGUGCUGGUGUCCAGCACACUGGCUAUGGCCACACUGAAUGUAGAGGACGUGCAGGAUUUAGGUUGGCCGUGCAUAUGUGUCUGGUGUGUGGAUUAUCUUCUCAGAAUUAGAGACGGCUCAUCCAUCCUCAUUUGAUAUUUCCGGAAGUCCCUGGGGGAGGCCUCAUGAACUCUUCUGCCUCCCACUAGAAAGUGCCUCUCUGGCAUCUGGGAAGUCUCUGUUCUCCAGAGCAUUGGGGUGUUCGUAGCUGUCCCCAGGAUCUGCUGGGUGACAGCAAACAUCUUGUCUCUGGUCUCUUCUUCCUGACACUGAUUGCUUUUGAACUCUCACUGUCUUUCUCCAAACAGACUGCUUCUCUCCUUCCUGUUUUUGAGACAGCGCCUCAGGCUGAACUCAUUAUGCAGCCCAGGCUGGCGUCAAACUCGUGGCAAUCCUCCUGCCUCAGCCUCCGGUGCUAGGUGCUAGGAUUACAGAGAUGAGCCACCACACCUGUCUAUUUCUCACUGCGCACCGUCCACCCUGCUGCUCAGCGGCUGCUCAUCGUUCAUCUUAGUUCCUGUGCCUGAACAUAACGGGCUUCCAAAUCCUUUCAGCUUCCUGUUCGUGGACAGUCCCUUGGUUCACUUCUCUACUCUGCUUGUGUGGUUACUACUCAGUCUGGUUCUCAGAAGGUCACCCUGCCACAAAUGCUGGCAAACCCAUUCUGUGUGGCUAGGUUUACUGCUAGCCACCUUCCCUGGGCCUGAUGAUGAUGAUGAUGAUGAUGAAGAGGAGGGGGAGGGGAAGGCUCACAUGUGUGGUCCUCAGAGCUCGCAAACUACAUACUUCUAUUUGAUCUUUAGAGCAAUACAAUAACUCUGUGAGUUACAUCGAUCCUGACACACCAGAAACAGAAGUUUGGAAGUUCCGAGUAAUGUCUGGCAUGAUAGCAGCACAUAUCUGUGGUAUAGCAGAUUCAGAACUACAUGAAACACUCGGGACCCAGAACCCUAUUUACAGUGCCCCUCUGCUUUCUUGCACAAUGUGUGACCAAAAUGAACUGUUAUGGCCAGGGGCUGCUGAUGGCAGUGACCCCAUCAGCACACCACACUGGUGUGGCCAAAGCCACCAUGACACCACAUUGGUUGUCUUGAAAUAAGACAAACUCAGUUCAUGAAUGGCUGGUCCGUGGUGUGUUCAUAUCCAACAACAGAGACGGAGUAAAAGUGUUUGUAGGGUGAGAAGAGGGAGAGAAAUGGGAGCAUUCCAAACUAGAACAGAACCCUCUCUCCCAUUACGCGUGGAGGCAGGACUUGGAUGCUAAAGUUGGUAAUUAGUCAUAUGACUUGGUCCAGUCACAUCAUUUCUAUGGCAGCCCUCCAUUUCCUCUGGGCCAAAAGGAAUAAUAAAGUUUUGGCUUCUGUAAUGGAAAAAUA